UGUUGCCGGCCGGGUCGCAGUUUAUCCUGGAGACGGUUGUCAAGGAGCGAACGCCGCGUCGCUGGGCAACAACAGACCGAGGAUUGUUCGCGGGGCCCCGAGGCUGGGCUGAGCCCCGCGGCCGGCAGCCCCCGCCGCGGCCAUGGCCACGGCCUCCAUGCUCCCCGCGCGCAACCAGGAGGCGGCGGCUGCAGCCAGCGGCACCUACAGCUCCUGCAGCCGCCCCCGGGCCCUGCCCGCCCGGCGGAGAUACCGGGGCGCCCCGGGACCCAGCGAGCAAGAGGAAGAACCUGUUCGCUAUGCGAACCUCAUGUACGAUAGGAGAGUGGUACGAGGCAACACUUAUGCCCUUCAUACAUUACCUUGGACUGCUCAGCCUGACCCUCUUGAGUUCCAAAGGCAGCGAGAGGCUCACAGGAAAGCACUUGCCAGAAAACGAGCAAAAGAGCAGCUUCAGUCAAGAACUCCAGAGCCUGUAGAGGGCAGAAAGCAUGUUGAUGUGCAGACAGAGUUGUAUCUGGAAGAGCUUGGUGACCGCAUAAUAGAGGUUGAUGUGGAGUGUCAAACAGAUGCUUUUCUGGACAGACCACCUACUCCACUCUUCAUCCCAGCCAAAACAGGGAGAGAUGUGGCCACACAGAUAGAAGAAGGAGAGCUCUUUGACUUUGACAUUGAAGUCAAACCAAUGCUAGAAGUUUUGAUUGGAAAAAUCAUUGAACAAGCUUUGCUAGAAGUCAUGGAAGAAGAGGAGCUGGCCAGUCUGCGGACACAUCAGUAUGCAUAUGAGGAACUACGCAAUGCCGAGCUCGCUGAAGUACAACGUCUUGAGGAGCAGGAGAGGCGACACAGAGAAGAAAAGGAACGUCGCAAAAAUCAACAGUCACAAUUGCUUCAAAAGCAGAAGGAGACUUCAGAGAAAAUUGCAGCAAGGGCAUUUGCUCAGCGUUACCUGGCUGAUCUCAUUCCUUCAGUCUUUAGCAGUCUUCGUGAGAGUGGAUAUUUCUAUGAUCCUGUAGAAAGAGAUGUUGAGAAAGAAUUCCUUCCAUGGGUGAUGGCAGAAGUAGAUAAGACAUUGGAGAAGAAGAUUCUGGGAAGGGCAGUGCUUGACACAUUGAUUCGUGAGGUGGUUGAAAAGAGGUUAGAUGCGUUUGAUCAUCCAGAAGCAUCUGGUCAGCCUGCUGGGCAAACAGAAGCAUCUCAUCGAGGCUCUGUUCAGAUAGAAGCAUUACAUCAAACAGAAACUCAGGAGCCUGAAGCUAAGUGAAGACCAAACCAAACAUCAAGUAAUCAGAUGUGGCGGGGAAAGCAGCCAGACAGCAGGAGGUUUUUAAAAAAAUGCCACGGAAGAAACAAGGAAGUAAUGGGGCUCCUGAGACAUGAAGCAGGGCAGCACGGGGCACUGAGCAGGGACCCAGAAUGCCUUCUGCUCACCACCUGCCCCCUUCCCACAAGAUCUGUCGAGAGAGCUGCACUGUGAGAUAGCUGCCCUACAGUGCUGCUCUCAUCCACGAUGGAAGUGCUGGUAGUGUAAACACUCUCUGACGCCUGAGGAAUUGAGGGGCUUAACUAUAGCUAAGAAGAUUGCGCUUGAUCAUUUGUGAAAAGAAGAUUCAAUUUGUUUAGGAAAUUGUUCCAAGAAGGGAACAAUAAACUGAAGAUUUUUAUUUUUGCAAAUUUUUAACAGGCUUUAUGCUUUAUUUCCUAUAAAAUUUACUUAAAGAAAGAGUGGCUGCAUGAUUAUACGUGUAAAUAGUGUUUAGUAUUAAUCCUUUUCACACUUGGAUUACUAUACAAAGAGUUAGUGAAUUCACUAUAUGCAUUGCAGUAAUAUAGGAAUAUUGGCUUAAGAAAGUUCUAUAGUACCCUUUUUGUUAAGAAAUCCAAAUCAAGUAUCCAUUGCAGAUAUAUUGCAUCGUAUCCUUAAAGUCCAUCUGCAUUUACCCUAUUACUUAAUAAAUCCAGGAGUGUGUACAUGCAUGUAGAUAUGAAGAAAAUAAAGCAAGUUCACUCAACUCUAAAAAGAUGUAUUGGCAACUUCAGUUUAAAUGAAUGGCAUUAAAAAAAAUGUGAUUGAGUGUGCUUGUUUAUGGUGUUGCAAAACGUAACAAAUUAUCGGUAAAGUCAGCCUCGGAAGUUUCUCUACCCAGCUGUGCUUAGCUUUUUCCCCUUUAAUGAAGAUUGAAAAUAAUUUUGGAAAGUUACUAGAAAAUUGCAAUCCAUUCAUUUUUCCUAGAAGGUCAGUUGUAUGAUACAGUGACAUUUCUGCUUAAUUAAUAUUUGUGAAUACAGUGCAAGCUUGUAAUCAUAUUUAUACUUUUCAGAUUGUAUUAGUGAAAAAAAAUGUCAUGAUGAUAAUAUGUUGCAAAAAUUCUCCUAUGAUAAAACUUCCACAGUGCAAUAUAACAGGAGUAUCCAUUCUCUUUGAUCCUGAAGUAUGGAACGAUAAGUGUUCUGUUAUCAACGGCUAAUAGUUCAGUUAGUGCCCAAUGUUUAAGAUAAACCAGAUUCCAUCCUAUUUAAAUACAGUACUGGUUUAAAGAUAACCACAGAAUGAAUCCUAUGAAAGUUCACAUAAUGAAAAAAUCUCAGUACCUGUAUAUGCUAUAUUUAAAGUAAGAAAAAAAAUUAUAGCAUCCAUUUCUGAUUCUCUUUGUUUGAGUGGCUGUAUUGUAGAAGAGGAACAUAAUCUGUCCGGGCAGGCAGGCAGGCAGCCAGCUUUCUCUGUUUGAAUGAGAAUGUUCUAAGCUAACCCUUUCUAGGAAGAAUAUUGACAUUUAUGUAAAAACUUGCUUUCCACAAACACGUGUCAAUAAAAUAUCAUUGAACUUUAAUACAAAA